rnacentral:rRNA from 1 species
AUGUGGAGAAGAAAAAGAAAAGAAGGAGCAACAAAGGUAGAAAGGUAUCCCUCCCAAAUGAUGUUGGUCCUACUACUCAUUGUGAUGAUGAUAUUUGCUAUACUAUUAGUGCGAUCAAUAUUUUUAAUGAUGAGGAUGAAAUAUUUGAGAAUAUAUUUGCUGGAAUUAAUGUUUGUCCCAAGCUUGGGGAUGCUAUGUCUAAUGAAUAUGAUAUUUUUAGCAUCCCAAGUUUUGAUAUGCAAAUAUGAUGAUAGCAUGCCUCCUACCUAUGAUGAUUAUAUUGAUGAAAGUGGGUUCAGAAAAGUGUCAACUUUAGAAAGUACUGAUCCCACUAUUUUGGAGGAUAUUGAAUCUUAUUGUGAUGAACAUGAAAGUGGAUUUGGAAGAGUGUCAACUUUAUUUAGUGAUUCCACUCUCUUGGGAGAGGUUUCAAUCGAUUAUGAUGAGAACGAAGUUGCUACUUAUGAUGAUUAUUGUGAUGAAACUUAUGCUAUAAAAAGUAGUGAUGAUUAUAUUUAA